rnacentral:rRNA from 1 species
UACGUAGGUGGCGAGCGUUGUCCGGAAUUACUGGGCGUAAAGGGAGCGUAGGCGGACUUUUAAGUGAGAUGUGAAAUACUCGGGCUCAACUUGAGUGCUGCAUUUCAAACUGGAAGUCUAGAGUGCAGGAGAGGAGAAUGGAAUUCCUAGUGUAGCGGUGAAAUGCGUAGAGAUUAGGAAGAACACCAGUGGCGAAGGCGAUUCUCUGGACUGUAACUGACGCUGAGGCUCGAAAGCGUGGGGAGCAAAUAGG